rnacentral:rRNA from 1 species
CCUACGGGAGGCAGCAGUAGGGAAUGUUCGGCAAUGGGGGGAACCCUGACCGAGCAACGCCGCGUGAACGAAGAAGUAUUUCGGUAUGUAAAGUUCUUUUAGUGGAGAAGAAAGAGAAAUUGGACGGGAACCAAUGAAUAAGCUCCGGCUAACGACGUGCCAGCAGCCGCGGUAAUACGGAGGGAGCGAGCGGUAUCCGGAAUUAUUGGGCGUAAAGGGUGUGUAGAUGGUUGAUAUAAGUCUUUUGUAAAAAUGCUCGGCUCAACCUAGUAGGGCAAAAGAUACUGAUGACCUAGAGUACGGCAGAGGCAAGUGGACCUACAUGUGUAGCGGUCACAUGCGUACAUAUAUGUAAGAACACCGGUGGCGAAGGCGGCUUGCUGGGCCUGUACUGACAUUGCGGCACGAAAGCGUGGGGAGCAAACAGGAUUAGAUACCCCGGUAGUC